rnacentral:rRNA from 1 species
AACGAACGCUGGCGGCAUGCCUAACACAUGCAAGUCGAACGAGACCUUCGGGUCUAGUGGCGCACGGGUGCGUAACGCGUGGGAACCUUCCCUUAGGUUCGGAAUAACUCCCCGAAAGGGGUGCUAAUACCGGAUAAUGUCUUCGGACCAAAGAUUUAUCGCCCUUGGAUGGGCCCGCGUUGGAUUAGCUAGUUGGUAGGGUAAAAGCAUACCAAGGCGACGAUCCAUAGCUGGUCUGAGAGGAUGAUCAGCCACACUGGGACUGGGACGCGGCCCAGACUCCUACGGGAGGGAGCAGUGGGUAAUAUAGGAAAAUGGGCGAAGGCCUGAACCAGCAAGGCCGCGUGAGUGAUGAAGGCCGUAGGGUUGUAAAGCGCAUUUAACCGGGAUGAUAAUGACAGUACCGGGAGAAUAAGCUCCGGCUAACUACGUG